UAAUUCAAUUGGCGUGCGCGAGCUCUAGUAAUCGGUCCAGUGUGUAUAGCAGCAGGGGCUGUGGGUGUAACAAUGGUAUUGAUGUCCUCAUCAGCAUGGUGAUCCUCUCCUCCCCUACAUGACUACACCAUCAUGGAAUCUUCUCAUAUUUAGAUGGAGAUCAUCAAUACAUGAUCUUGCUGGAGCCGCUCUUUCCAUACAUGGCUAGCUGCAGUGCCGGGCGACCAACACGAUCCAGCGGACAUGAUGAUCCACGGAGAGCAAGAUGCUACGUACGUAUACCCAUCAUGAUGGCCGGCGAUUCCCCUUGGAUGAAACGACUGGCGCGAUCUAGCAUAUAUGAAGAUCCACACAUAGCAAGAUGUAUAUAUGUUUUGCCAGUAGCAGGAGGUUCCUUGAUUCUUUACACCAUCAGACAAAGCAGAUCAAAUCCUUUGUGGAGUGCGGCAUCAGAUAAACGGAUAUUGCACAAGCCCAGGUGAUCGAGCUAGGCACCGGUAACUACAUAAAAGGUCGGGAAACUUCUCCUGGAAAUCAUGGAUAAACAGAACUACAAAAGCUUGGAGAUAGAGAAAUAAUAGAACGACUUCCCGCUCAUUCUUGGACUGUCAGGUCAUGCGUGCAGACUGCUAGAAAGUUGGAGAAAUUUACAUUUAGCAGCAAGAAGGUGAGCUGCACAUACUUCCUAUGUACCUACACAAGCCCUGUGGUAUGUAUAUCAGAUGGUAGUGUAUUUCACGGUUUUAUGUUUAUGUUGACUUAAUUUGUGUUUUUUUUUCCUAUGUAGUCUAUUAUUCAGAAGUUCAAUGAUUUAUACCAAUGUUGGACAGAAUGAUUUUUAAUAUUAAUGCUACUUUCAUCUGAAGCUUUAUACUUUGUAUGCACUCUGAUCUUCAGAAGUUGAGGUUCAUCUGCAGCUUAAACUUAGUUAGAUCUACGAGCUUCUAUGUGGAAAUUCUUGGCAAAAAAGAAUUCAGAAAGCUUGGCGGUGGAGCGUAGCGUGUUUUUCUUGGUGUGACGUACAUGGACAUGUUGCUGAAGAAGAACAAAAGGGAAAUCUCACGUGGGCGAGUGAGCAGUUCAGUGUUGGUGGUUUGCUUUGGUCGUUCCACAUCCUAGAGAAGACAGUUUGGUCGCCCUCGACGUACAAAAGAAAACGACAUGAAUUUGUGGUUUUGGCGUGAUCGCCAAUGACACUCCUGGAGUGCAUUCUAACUGGCUGCAACCUCCUCCUCGAAAAUGAACAGGUAACGGCAGGUUGAUGCGUGCCUAGCCAUAACUGGUACUGUAAAUCAAUGGCUCGAUUACGAUUUUCCCUUAACCAUCACAUGUCAAUAUAUUUAUAGGUGAUUACUUAUUUUAGUAUAUGUUCACACCUGCAAGAUGAUGCUAAUUAAGUUCAACACAGGCAAGCUACUAUCAUUAGUAGUAGGGCAGCAAAGUUCUUCUGGCAUCGAGACUACAGAAAUGAACCAAACGUCGAGACCAGAUGAAGCGGGUUAUAAUUUAUCAUGGUUUUUCAUUAUGUGAUGUGACAAGAUGUUCGUAAUGCUAUUUUCCGCAAAUGUAUUGGUGCAUGCUUAACUACUGAACUUUUUAAUUCAGCUCUCUUAUCUUCAGUUUGUAAAGUUAAAUUUGUAUUAUUUUUGAUAUACACAUGAUUAUGCAUAUUCAAUUUCUUUUCGUCAAUGGUGUUAUCUCUCAGGCAAGGGAUGGAUAACUUCAAGGACAAGUUUGCUGAAAAGUUUCUAACUUAUUACCAAGGUACUCAACCAUAACACUGCAUGAAUCCCCAUUUUCUUGCUGAUGUAGCCAUACAAACUUUGAAACUUUAAUGUCCUUGAUAGUAUUGCUUCUACAAAACUUAUUUUAAUAUUGCAUGUAAAUAGUUAUAAUUUCAUAUAUAUAUUCUUAUAUAUACCAAACUUGCAGAUUAUUGGUACACACAUCUACAAGUCGUAAUUAAAGGUGUCAUAAGAAAAAAGAGAAAUAGCUACAAAUUACCACAAACUUAAUGAAAAACAUGCGACCUUUUAUUUUAGUAGAUAAAAUUAUAUAGCCAUUAGAUAAUAUUUUAUGUAGAGAAAUUACCGAGCAUUGCCAUUAAAAAAUUAUAUAAUGUAAAAAAUGUUUCGGUCCUGCCUUUUUUGUUUUUCUUAUUCUCCACCACAUGUACGUUGCUUGCCUCAUGGGAUCCUAACAAAAAAACUUUUAUUUUCUCCACCUUCCAUGACUCAUGGGAUCUUCAUUAAAAAAACGCUACAUCAGAAGCUAGCCUAGAAUGCUCAUGUACGCAUGCAUUCUCCAUCACGUGGACCUUACUUGCGUCAUGGGAUCCUCAAAAAAAGAUGCAGCACAAGCUAUCCUGGCUUGCUAUAUAUACAACACAUGUACUCAUCGAAAAAUAAGCAAACUAACACAAAAAUUAGAAUCAUCUAACCAUUGAUACGAUGGAUACUUAUAUUUCAAUAAAAACUAACUGAUCCGAUUCAACCUUUUUCUUGAGACGAUAUCAUAUCUAACUUAUAGGAGAGCGACUACAUGUUGGUAUCAACUGUGUACCAGCUAAGAAGUCGCAUGGAUGUGAUGAGUUUCUAGAUUUCUUUUCAUGGACUAGAAUUGACUAUAUGCACCUGCGGUUAGACAAAGGAUGCGCAGGAAGCCUGGAACACACAUGGUAAGGGAAACUGUGAGGGCACAUGUGAUGUGACCUUCAUCACCAUCCGGAUCUUGGGGUGGGCAAAUGUUAUAUGUCUUCAUUGUUGACUACCUUCAGCAGGGUCAUGCUGAUGUUAUAGGAGAAGGCAUGGAACUCCACUGCCAUCAACUUGCAUUAGUGCAGAUAACUUGGCGGCCAGUUCCAUAGGGAGAUUCACGAAGGAGGGCAGUUGGAGCCUUGAAGUAAAACAACAAGCUAGCAGGGGUGAUAUUCGAGGACUCCUCUUUGUUGGAAACACCGUGAGUUGUAACAGGGAGAAAAGGGAGAAAAGAAAUUAAGAGGAAAAAAGAGGGCACAACAUGAGCCCUUCGCUAAAAGUUCGUGCGUGUGCGUUCGUAUGAUUUUGAUGUGGUCGUUCGUGUGGACGAAUUUCAACACUCUUGGACGCUUGGUAUCCUUGGCUCUGUGCGCAAGGACGUUGACUAGGAUGUAUUGAUACACGGCUACACGAGAAAGAUUGGUGAAGCAAUCUUAUUUGCAGAAAACGUAGAUCUUGUCUUAUAUGUGUUAUUUUCUUAUAUUAUGCAACCAUCAUCAAGUAUAUCCAGAUUUAAAUGGGAAAAGUAUAUCAUGGUUGUUGGAGGACAAGGAUGAUAUUUUCCCUAAAAGCAAAAUUAUAGCCGAAUCUUUUUUUU